rnacentral:rRNA from 1 species
UACAGAGGGGGCAAGCGUUGUUCGGAAUUACUGGGCGUAAAGGGCGCGUAGGCGGCGUGCUAAGUCGAACGUGAAAUCCCCGGGCUCAACCCGGGAACUGCGUCCGAGACUGGCAGGCUUGAAUCCGGGAGAGGGAUGUGGAAUUCCAGGUGUAGCGGUGAAAUGCGUAGAUAUCUGGAGGAACAUCGGUGGCGAAGGCGGCAUCCUGGACCGGUAUUGACGCUGAGGAGCGAAAGCGUGGGGAGCGAACAGG